UACGUAGGGUGCAAGCGUUGUCCGGAAUUAUUGGGCGUAAAGAGCUCGUAGGCGGUCUGUCGCGUCGGCUGUGAAAUCCCGAGGCUCAACCUCGGGUCUGCAGUCGAUACGGGCAAACUGGAGUGUUGCAGGGGAGACUGGAAUUCCUGGUGUAGCGGUGAAAUGCGCAGAUAUCAGGAAGAACACCAAUGGCGAAAGCAGCUCUCUGGGACGGUACUGACGCUGAGACGCGAAAGCGUGGGGAGCGAACAGG
rnacentral:rRNA from 1 species